UUCAUCUUCUUCGUGGGACGUCUGAGAGGAGAAGAGAAACCAUCAAAGCUCCAAAAAUCCUAACUUCUCUAUUUCUCAACCAAAUCUUUUGAUUCUUGAACCAAUCUUGCUUAGAAUUGAGAGACAAACACAACCCCUAAUCCAUAAUCUACCAAAAAACCUUGCAUUGAGAUAAAAAAAAGGUGGUAAAAGUGGUGACCUACUUGUGAUUGAGGAGCUUUGAGAGUGAUUUGUUUUGCUUGGAGGCUUGCAAUCUCUUCCUUGCAUGAUUCUAGGAUUAAACCUUGUGAACCAACAUUGAAGGACCAAUCAUUGGAGGAAGCCAUGGAGCUUGACUAGCUCAUUGAAAUUGGUAUUGAUUGUUGGUAUUGUUGUAAAGCUUGGUUGAUUGCUCAUUGGUGGUGAACAAAGGUUAAGCUUUGAAGCUCAUUGAGGUACAAAUGCUACAGGAACCUCUGGUGGCAAGUGGUCAUACUUGGAUUAGAUUGAUGCAUGAGGAUAUUGCAUCUUUUUGGUUAUGCAUGUCAUUUUGUAGUUCCUAUGUACAAGAUUUACAUUUGAAAGCCAUUUGUUAUAUGUAUGCCAUGCUUUAUUUUGGUGAACUAAGCCUAUGCUCACCUCCUUUGGUGUCUCUUUUGUUGAUGAGAGUCAAGGAAUUGAUCAUAGUGUUUUGUAGCUAAGUCCCAUGGUUAGGUAUUGAAGACAUUUAGAGAUUGUGUAAUAUUGUGUUUAUUGUAUAUAUGAUGGAAGGGCAUAGAUGCUUCUUUUGAUAAAUGUGUACCUUGAAAGAACUAAGAAUCAUGUAUUGAAGUGGUUGUAUGAUGUCAAU